CUUGGUCAUUUAGAGGAAGUAAAAGUCGUAACAAGGUGUCCUUCCCAGCGAACCUUGGARGCCUUUGCACCCCGCCCUGGGGGGCCCCGCGACUAUAAAGAAGGGCCAAGCAAGUCGCUAUGGCGGCAACAUGAUCGAAUUGCGGGGAUCUCCUAAAGCCUAACGGUACCAACCUCGGCGUCGAAAGACCCGAGGGGCCUGUAAAUACAGGGUGGUCACAAUCCGUUAGGAUGCUAACAAUGGACAAUCCGCAGCGAAGCUCCUACCGGCUCCAGGCCAACGGAGAACGCUCACAGACUAGGUGGUUAUGGGUAGGGCCGUCAGGCUCUGCUUAAGAUAUAGUCGGGCCCUGAGAGAAAUCUCGGGGGCUGUUCGCACAGCGUGAAACCGUUCCGUAGGUGAACCUGCGGAAGGAUCAUUACAGAGUUCAUGCCCGAAAGGGUAGACCUCCCACCCUUGUGUAUUUAUACUUUGUUGCUUUGGCGGGCCGCCGCAAGGCUACCGGCUUCGGCUGGUGCGUGCCCGCCAGAGGACCUUCAAACUCUGAAUGUUAGUGUCGUCUGAGUACUAUAUAAUAGUUAAAACUUUCAACAACGGAUCUCUUGGUUCUGGCAUCGAUGAAGAACGCAGCGAAAUGCGAUAAGUAAUGUGAAUUGCAGAAUUCAGUGAAUCAUCGAAUCUUUGAACGCACAUUGCGCCCCUUGGUAUUCCGGGGGGCAUGCCUGUUCGAGCGUCAUUUCGACCAUCAAGCUCAGCUUGGUAUUGGGCCCUGCUGGCAACGGCAGGCCUUAAAGACAGUGGCGGUGCCCUGAGGCCCUGAGCGUAGUACAUCUCUCGCUACAGGUUCCUGAGGGUUACCAGCCAGCAACCCCCAAUUUUUAUAAGGUUGACCUCGGAUCAGGUAGGGAUACCCGCUGAACUUAAGCAUAUCAAUAAGCGGAGGA
rnacentral:rRNA from 1 species